CAAGACAUAGCUUAAACAAAGCAUCUAGUUUACACCUAGAAGAUUCCAUACACUAUGAAUGUCUUGA
rfam:Gazella thomsoni mitochondrial 12S and 16S ribosomal RNA genes, and Phe-, Val-, and Leu-tRNA genes.